rnacentral:lncRNA from 1 species
UUUCCUACAUCUCACGGCAUGUGUUGUCAAUCCUUUUUGGAAGCUACAAUGGCCUAGAAUCUCUUCAACUUCUUUGCUCAAGUCGUCCACUCUUUCUACCUGCUGUGCAAAAAAAGAUUUUCCUUCUCGGAAUGCUCGGUCCAUACUCCAGUCUUUUAUCCUUUUUGAUUUACUACACCAUUGCUCAUCCAAGUCUGCUACUCGGUUGCUUAGUUCUUCCAGCUUUCUUUUCAGGGUUGACGUAUAUUCGCCAACAAGCUUAAAAAUACCCGACCGACUAUCCACGAGUGCAUCAUCUGUCCUCGCAUCUAACAUCAAGGAAACACUUAUAGUAUUUUAUACAAAC